rnacentral:rRNA from 1 species
AACGAACGCUGGCGGCAUGCCUAACACAUGCAAGUCGAACGAGACCUUCGGGUCUAGUGGCGCACGGGUGCGUAACGCGUGGGAACCUGCCCUUAGGUUCGGAAUAACUCCCCGAAAGGGGUGCUAAUACCGGAUAAUGUCUUCGGACCAAAGAUUUAUCGCCUUUGGAUGGGCCCGCGUUGGAUUAGCUAGUUGGUAGGGUAAAAGCCUACCAAGGCGACGAUCCAUAGCUGGUCUGAGAGGAUGAUCAGCCACACUGGGACUGAGACACGGCCCAGACUCGGACGGGAGGGAGCAGUGGGGAAUAUUGGACGAUGGGCGAAGGCCUGAUCCAGCAAUGCCGGGUGAGUGGUGAAGGCCGUAGGGUUGUAAAGCUCUUUUACCCGGGAUGAUAAUGACAGUACCGGGAGAAUAAGCUCCGGCUAACUCCGUG